AGCUAGAAAAUUAGGAGCAAUUUGAAGGAGGUACAGCUCCUUUAAAAUAGGAUACAACCUCCCCUAGCGGAUAAGACUACAAACAUACUAAACUGUGGGCCUUUAAGCAGCCAUCAACGAAGAGUGCGUCAAAGCUCUACCCUAAAAGAUUUUUAAACCACCAUGAAUCCCUCACUACUAACAGGCUAACCUAUGUCAAUAGAAGAAUUUAUGCUAAAAUAAGUAACUAGGGCUCUCUCCCUCUCAAGCGCAAACUUACAUCCCAUAAAUUAUUAACAGACCAAACUAGUAUUGCAACCACCACAAGAUUCCAUACUACACCACCUGUUAACCCAACAUUCAGGAGCGCCCAUUAGAAAGAUUUAAAUUCACAAAAGGAACUAGGCAAACCCAAGGCCCGACUGUUUACCAAAAACAUAGCCUUUAGCCAACCAAGUAUUAGAGGUGACGCCUGCCCAGUGACACACGUUUAACGGCCGCGGUAUCCUAACCGUGCGAAGGUAGCGCAAUCAAUUGUCUCAUAAAUCGGGACUUGUAUGAAUGGCUAAACGAGGUCUUAACUGUCUCUUGUGAAUAAUCAGUGAAAUUGAUCUUCCUGUACAAAAGCAGGAAUAACACCAUAAGACGAGAAGACCCUGUGGAACUUAAAAAUCAACGACCACUAUCUACAUUCUUCAACCCCCACCGGCCCAUCAAAACCGAAUGCUGGUCCGUAUUUUUUGGUUGGGGCGACCUUGGAGAAAAACAAAGCCUCCAAAAACAAGACCCUACCUCUUGACCAAGAGCAACCCCUCAACGUACUAAUAGUACCCAGACCCAGUAUAUCUGAUCAAUGAACCAAGCUACCCCAGGGAUAACAGCGCAAUCUCCUUCAAGAGCCCAUAUCGACAAGGAGGUUUACGACCUCGAUGUUGGAUCAGGACAUCCUAAUGGUGCAGCCGCUAUUAAGGGUUCGUUUGUUCAACGAUUAACAGUCCUACGUGAUCUGAGUUCAGACCGGAGCAAUCCAGGUCGGUUUCUAUCUAUGACAAACUUUCCCCAGUACGAAAGGACCGGAAAAGUGAGGCCAAUGCCCCAGGCAAGCCUCCCUAAAAGUAAUGAACACAUCUAAAUUACUACCAAGACACCAAUAACUACACCUCACUCCCUAGAAAAGGGCCGCUAGCGUGGCAGAGAUCGGCAAAUGCAA
rnacentral:rRNA from 1 species